GAGACCUGGAUUAUAUCUAUUUGUCUGCCCACAAACCCACUAACUUCUAAAAAUUCAAACAUGGCAGUUGCUCAGUAAAUGCUGAAUAAAUGCAAGGGGGAUCCACUGACAACUUAGAUGCACGAGCUCUCCUGAAAUGUAAUUUAAAAAAAAAAAAAAAAAAAACCCUGGGAAGCAGUUGUCCAGGGAAAGAAGACCAGAGCCUUAAGGUACAUAUUUUUACUCUUAGAAAUGAGUGGCACUGGCAGCCUGGGGGCCCCUAUGAGUAAGAAGGAGGAGGCUGCACCAGCUAGCAGACUAAGCAUGACCCUUUCUGGUCAAGGCACUCAGCCUCCUUUCAGUGUGUGUCUACACUUAACAUCUUUGUUAAGUCAUGGCUCCCAGCAAGUGCCCCCACCUAGUGUAUGUCUGACACUUCUUCAGUACCCUAUAAAUAUGAGUUCAAAUCACUCUGUUGCUUCUCUGCGUCACAGAAAGGAAAGGGGUCUUGUCCCAGUCACCAGGUGGGAGAGGAAGCGCUGGGCCUUGUGGCCCAGAGCCUCUUGCAUCUCACGUGGUCUCUGCAGGCCGUGCUCUUCCUGUGACCAGCAUGGGGGGGAAGGGGCCAUGGUCUGCACCCCCAAGGCAGCCUCACCGUGUGGUUUUCCAUCUCAAGCGCCUUUUGUCCCCCACCCCCACCUCCGAGACACUGAUUCCCAUCUUAGAGAGGGUCUGUGGGUCCAUCAAGGCCCCUGGGCCUUUGCUUGUCUGUCGUCCAGUGCCACUAGGGGUGUUCCUGCAGCCCAAACGGUGGUAAAUAGCCAAAGCAGCCCUGUCCGUGUUAAAGAUUAUGUAUCUGCCACUAAGGGGAGAAUACAGUGUUUAUCGGCCAGAGCGCGUGCCGGCUGAGCUGAUUACAGCACAGCGCUCUGUCAGCCCAUGAUUUGUCCUGUCCUUUAUCAUCUGUGUCACUCAGCGGUGUGCCGGCGCAGGGAACGGAUCACCCCCUUCCCUUUUUUUGUACCCAUUUCGUGUAGAAAAUUUGUAUUUACUUUGGGAGUGUAAUUUGUUCCUCAUGGAUAAUGUGACCCUGAGCGGAGCUGGAUCAUGGGUUAGUUGAAGUGAUGUUUUCCGCUAAUGGUAGUCGUACAUCAUUGCUGUCAGCUCGGGUUAGGAGGCAAGCACAUUACAGCUCCAUUUUACCUCUGCAGGCAUCUGGGAUUAUUUGCCAUAACCGAGUAUGACAUGACCGCGCUACAGAGUGCAUUAAAAUUUUACUGGCUUCUCGGGCAAGUUCCCCAGCUCCAGUGUGUGUGCUUCAGGCGGGCAGUGUGAUGGGAGCCCCAGGGCCCUGGCUCCCUGCACAGAGGUGUGGCUCUGCGGCCUGUGCCCUCAGAGCGGGGCCGAGCACGGUGCCCACCACCCUCUGCUCACUCCCCUUGGUGCCUCAGCCCCGGGCCUAGAUUGGCAACCGCUCCUUCUCCAAGGGCAGCCCAGAGCAAUACGCGCCAUCCCCACCCAGCCUUGGGUUGACGGUUGCUUGAGAUGUCACCCUUCCUGGACAGGACGGACAAGCUGCCCUGGUCCUUGGCUGGGUAGGUAGUCAGGUCAUAGGUUCACGACGUGACUCAAUAAACCACACAUCAGAUGAGUUGUACCUUGUACCCUCAGGGCAGAUUGUAAAUGCUCCCGCAGAAGCAGCAUCGAUAGGUAUGGCUUUUCUCAUUGAGAGAUUUGAAACUGAGUUAGCGCAUUAAGAACGGUGCUCCCCGGCCCCGCCCCACCCCACCCCACCUUCGGCUCCCGAGUACACGCAUUGAUCUUCCCGGCUGCUCUGCAGUAGGUCCAGGCGACUGACCCGAUUUUCUCCUCUGGCCUUAGAGCCAAUCACUCAAGUAGUAAAGAAGAACGCAAAUAUUGAUCCCGUCAUUGAAAAGUAAUUAUCCCUCUCAGAUGGUCUGUUUAGAAUGCAGCAGUAAUUUUAAGUCAUGUGUUCCCCAGAGACAGCACGACAGUGUCCGUGGAUGGCUUCCUCUGUUUAAGUGGAGUUACCCUUGUACCCUCAGCCCUCCUGAAGCUCUAAUGACGUGCAGCCAGGCCCUCUUUGAGAAGAGUAGGCAUUGGAAAAAAUUCAGUUUACUCAACAAAUCAAUUACAGAGCACUUACUCAUUGUAUAAAGGGAUUCAUCCGCCUUCUGUAGCUAAAUAAAAGAUGCGAUUUCCACCUUUUAGACGCUCACCACAGAACUGCAAGAGCCUUCAUGAAGCCACUGGGUCAUUAAAGCUCUUAAGAUUUAAUACCUUGGGCUGUGUUUAUGUUAGCACGGUUUUGUUUUCUUUUCUUUUCAAGUUUCUUAUAACAGAGAUUAAAUUCACAGUCCAAAAAAUCGGGGACUGUCAGGCUUUUGGAGUACAAGUAAGUGUUCAAAAAACCACACCACCAGCAGGGCAGAGGUUUGCAGCUGGGCUUCAGGGGCGCGGGCAGGGAAUGGGGGAUGCAGGGCCUCCUUGUCUUGGCUCUGCUCCUUUUUGCCUGCCCACUUUAUUCCGGAUUGUUUGUGAGACUUGGUCUCUCCUCUUGGCGGAAAUCAUGUACCAUCCUCCUGAGCUCUGCACUUGUCUGCCUCAGCCCGUGGGAGGGAGACUGCCUCCUGUUCUACUGCAGUUACAUUCUGGGGGUGGCUUCUAUGGAAGGGCCUGUGGAUUG
rnacentral:lncRNA from 1 species